GUGACUAUGCGACGCCGCGUGCAGGAUGAAGGCCUUCGGGUCGUAAACUGCUGUCAGGGGGGAAGAAACCCUUAUAUUUAAAAGAUGUAAGGCUGACAUCACCCCCAAAGGAAGCCACGGCUAACUCUGUGCCAGCAGCCGCGGUAAUACAGAGGUGGCAAGCGUUGUUCGGAAUCACUGGGCAUAAAGGGCGCGUAGGCGGCGAAGCGAGUCGGGUGUGAAAUCCCUCAGCUCGACUGAGGAACUGCGCCCGAAACUACCUUGCUAGAGUGCAGGAGAGGAGAGUGAAACUCCUAGUGGAGCGGUGAAAUGCGUAGAGAUUAGGAGGAACGCCGGUGGCGAAAGCGACUCUCUGGCCUGCUACUGACGCUGAGGCGCGAAAGCUAGGGGAGCAAACGGGAUUAGAUACCCCGGUAGUCCUAGCCGUAAACGAU
rnacentral:rRNA from 1 species